rnacentral:rRNA from 1 species
GACGAACGCUGGCGGCGUGCUUAACACAUGCAAGUCGAACGGUAAGGCCCUUCGGGGUACACGAGUGGCGAACGGGUGAGUAACACGUGGGUGAUUUGCCCUGCACUUCGGGAUAAGCCUGGGAAACUGGGUCUAAUACCGGAUAGGACCACUGCCUGCAUGGGUGGUGGUGGAAAGCUUUUGCGGUGUGGGAUGGGCCCGCGGCCUAUCAGCUUGUUGGUGGGGUGAUGGCCUACCAAGGCGACGACGGGUAGCCGGCCUGAGAGGGUGACCGGCCAAACUGGGACUGAGAUACGGCCCAGACUCCUACGGGAGGCAGCGGUGGGGAAUAUUGCACAAUGGGCGCAAGCCUGAUGCAGCGACGCCGCGUGAGGGAUGACGGCCUUCGGGUUGUAAACCUCUUUCAGCACCGACGAAGCGCAAGUGACGGUAGGUGCAGAAGAAGGACCGGCCAACUACGUGCCAGCAGCCGCCGUAA